AUUGAACGCUGGCGGCAGGCCUAACACAUGCAAGUCGAGCGGAUGAAGGGAGCUUGCUCCUGGAUUCAGCGGCGGACGGGUGAGUAAUGCCUAGGAAUCUGCCUGGUAGUGGGGGAUAACGUCCGGAAACGGGCGCUAAUACCGCAUACGUCCUGAGGGAGAAAGUGGGGGAUCUUCGGACCUCACGCUAUCAGAUGAGCCUAGGUCGGAUUAGCUAGUUGGUGGGGUAAAGGCCUACCAAGGCGGCGAUCCGUAACUGGCCUGAGAGGAUGAUCAGUCACCCUGGAACUGAGACACGCUCCAGCCGCCUCGGGGAGGCCGCAGUGGGGAAUUUUGGGCAAUGGGCGAAAGCUUGACCCAGCCAGGCCGCGUGUGUGAGAAAGGUCUUCGGAUCGUAAAACUCUUUUAUUGGGGGGGAAGAAAUGUAUAUAUAACCCUGCCUGUUUUGACGUUACCAAAUAAGAAAGCCCCGGCUAACUUCGUG
rnacentral:rRNA from 1 species